UGUUGCAUAUCCAAAUAGCGGAGGAAAAGAAACCAACAGGGAUUGCCCCAGUAACGGCGAGUGAAGCGGCAACAGCUCAAAUUUGAAAUCUGGUCCCCUCUGGGGGCCCGAGUUGUAAUUUGAAGAGGAUGCUUUUGGCGAGGCGCCGUCCGAGUUCCCUGGAACGGGACGCCGCAGAGGGUGAGAGCCCCGUACGGUCGGACGCCGAGCCUCUGUAAAGCUCCUUCGACGAGUCGAGUAGUUUGGGAAUGCUGCUCAAAAUGGGAGGUAAACCCCUUCUAAAGCUAAAUACUGGCCAGAGACCGAUAGCGCACAAGUAGAGUGAUCGAAAGAUGAAAAGCACUUUGAAAAGAGAGUUAAAAAGCACGUGAAAUUGUUAAAAGGGAAGCGCUUGCGACCAGACUUGCGCCCGUCGGAUCAACCGUCGCUUGCGGCGGCGCACUCCGGCGGGCUCAGGCCAGCAUCAGUUCGCUCGGGGGGAGAAAGGCGGCGGGAAUGUGGCUCUUCGGAGUGUUAUAGCCCGCCGUGUAAUACCCUCGGGCGGACUGAGGACCGCGCGUAUGCAAGGAUGCUGCUAUACGUGGCGUAAUGGUCGUCAGCGACCCGUCUUGAAAAAAAGAACCACA
rnacentral:rRNA from 1 species